UACGGGAGGCAGCAGGUGGGGAAUAUUGCACAAUGGGCGAAAGCCUGAUGCAGCUAUGCCGCGUGUAUGAAGAAGGCCUUAGGGUUGUAAAGUACUUUCAUCGGGGAGGAAAAAACAAAACUAAUAAUUUUAUUUCUUGACGUUACCCGAAAAAGAAGCACCGGCUAACUCCGUGCCAGCAGCCGCGGUAAUACGGAGGGUGCUAGCGUUAAUCAGAAUUACUGGGCGUAAAGAGCACGUAGGUGGUUUUUUUAAGUCAGAUGUGAAAUCCCUGGGCUUAACCUAGGAACUGCAUUUUGAAACUGAAAUACUAGAGUAUCGUAGAGGGAGGUAGAAUUCUAGGUGUAGCGGUGAAAUGCGUAGAUAUCUGGAGGAAUACCUGUGGCGAAAGCGGCCUCCUAAACGAAUACUGACACUGAGGUGCGAAAGCGUGGGGAGCAAACAGGGAUUAGAUACC
rnacentral:rRNA from 1 species